rnacentral:sRNA from 1 species
ACAUUUGCUGUUAUGGAAACCAGCUUGGGACGCAAAGGUUGUUUUCCUUCUUCCUCAGCUUCCCUCCAUAGAGCCGUGGCUUUCUGGUAAUUUGGAUGCUUCCUUGGAGACUCUGUAGCUCUGAAGCCUCAUAGAACUGCUACUACAAUGGAACGCAGGGUUUGGAGUACCCUAAUUCUCUGUCCUGGGCCAUGGCCACUUGUAUUGGCUCCAUUAUCAACAAUCUCUUAUUGUUUUUGAGGCGAGAGCUGGAGUUUUGCAUUGACAACCACUUUGACCAUAGAUGAGCAACGGAGACAUCAGUCACCCCUCAAAGGCCUGUGUAUUAAGGCUUAGUUUCUAGUUUGGCGCUGUUAGAAGAUGAUGAAAAUAAGAGACGAAUGAGAGGUUUUCUGGUCAGUGAGGCAGUUCCUACCCCUUCUUCCUUCACUUGCAUAAUUCAUCAAUGGGAUGAGUGGCUAUGCUCUACACAUACUUACACCAUGGCGUGCUGUAUUCCACAGGCCCAAGAGAGGCCAAUUGGAUAUUUCAAAGGAUCUGAUGAACCAGAAGAUGACAAUACCCAAGGAUUACAUCUUUGUCCAAGUUACUCGAGAAGUUGACCAGUCUUCACACAGCAGAUGCUUAAAGAGUCACCACGUCAACCACCAGGUAUGGCACAUACUCAUGCCAUAUGGCAAGCUGUGAUGGGUGUGUUGGUGAACAGUUUAUACUCUGCUUUUCCCAAGCUGGGUCAUGAUUCUAUGUGUUGGGACCUUCCUGUUCUCUCUUGCCAGAGGGGUACAGUUGGGAACACAGGUGGCCCAGUGUGAAAUCGAAAUGAAAAGCGUUCUCCACAGACUCAUGCAUUUAAGCUUCAUCUUCAGUUGACAGCAUCGCGGUAAAGCCCUGUUGGGCCUACGCCUGGUUCUCAGUGUUGUGACUAUGCAGGCGUCAUCAAAUGGCGGUCCCACCGAGAUUGGGAAAGAGAGGACAACCUGACUAGAUCGUCCCAGGAAGCCAGCCGACAAAGGAGGAGGGGCGAAUUGGGGAAAACUGGCCAGGAAAGGCCUCAGAAAGCAGGAUUCAGAAGGAACACAGGAAUUGAAAGCACGUGCAAAGAAAAAUAAACAUUUGGG